rnacentral:rRNA from 1 species
CCUACGGGAGGCAGCAGUGGGGAAUAUUGGGCAAUGGAGGAAACUCUGACCCAGCGACGCCGCGUGAGGGAUGAAGGCCUUCGGGUUGUAAACCUCUUUCAGCAGGGAAUAAGCGAAAGUGAAGGUACCUGCAGAAGAAGCACCGGCUAACUAUGUGCCAGCAGCCGCGGUAAUACAUAGGGUGCAAGCGUUGUCCGGAAUUAUUGGGCGUAAAGAGCUCGUAGGUGGUCGAUCACGUCGGAUGUGAAAUUCUGAGGCUUAACCUCGGACCUGCAUUCGAUACGGGUUGACUAGAGUGUGGUAGGGGAGACUGGAAUUCCUGGUGUAGCGGUGGAAUGCGCAGAUAUCAGGAGGAACACCGAUGGCGAAGGCAGGUCUCUGGGCCAUUACUGACACUGAGGAGCGAAAGCGUGGGGAGCGAACAGGAUUAGAUACCCUGGUAGUCCACGCCGUAAACGGUGGGCGCUAGUUGUGGGAACCUUCCACGGUUUCUGCGACGCAGCUAACGCAUUAAGCGCCCCGCCUGGGGAGUACGGUCGCAAGACUAAAACUCAAAGGAAUUGACGG